UGAAUACUCCCUCCGUCUCAAAAAUUUUGUCUUUAAUUUGUCUAGAUAUGAAUGUAUCUAGUCACAUUUUAGUAUUUUGGUACAUCCAUUUUUAGACAAAUUUUUUUGGGACGGAGGAAGUACUCC
rnacentral:pre_miRNA from 1 species